rnacentral:rRNA from 1 species
CAUGCAAGUCGACGAUGAUGCCCAGCUUGCUGGGCGGAUUAGUGGCGAACGGGUGAGUAAUACGUGAGUAACCUGCCCCUGACUCUGGGAUAAGCCUGGGAAACCGGGUCUAAUACUGGAUACGACCUUCCACCGCAUGGUGGGGGGUGGAAAGGGUUUACUGGUUUUGGAUGGGCUCACGGCCUAUCAGCUUGUUGGUGGGGUAAUGGCUCACCAAGGCGACGACGGGUAGCCGGCCUGAGAGGGUGACCGGCCACACUGGGACUGAGACACGGCCCAGACUCCUACGGGAGGCAGCAGUGGGGAAUAUUGCACAAUGGGCGAAAGCCUGAUGCAGCGACGCCGCGUGAGGGAUGACGGCCUUCGGGUUGUAAACCUCUUUCAGUAGGGAAGAAGCGCAAGUGACGGUACCUGCAGAAGAAGCGCCGGCUAACUACGUGCCAGCAGCCGCGGUAAUACGUAGGGCGCAAGCGUUGUCCGGAAUUAUUGGGCGUAAAGAGCUCGUAGGCGGUUUGUCGCGUCCGCUGUGAAAGCCCGGGGCUCAACCCCGGGUCGGCAGUGGGUACGGGCAGACUAGAGUGCAGUAGGGGAGACUGGAAUUCCUGGUGUAGCGGUGAAAUGCGCAGAUAUCAGGAGGAACACCGAUGGCGAAGGCAGGUCUCUGGGCUGUUACUGACGCUGAGGAGCGAAAGCAUGGGG